AUUGAACGCUGGCGGCAGGCCUAACACAUGCAAGUCGAACGAGUGGCGGACUGGUGAGUAAUUUCUGGGAAACUGCCUGAUGUAGGGGUCUAACUACUGGAACCGGUAGCUAAUACCGCAUACCAUCAGAUGUGCCCAGAUGGGAUGAGCUUGUUGGUGGGGUAACGGCUCACCAAGGCGACGCUCCCUAGCUGGGCUGAGAGGAUGACCAGCCACACUGGAACUGAGACAAGGUCCAGACUCCUACGGGAUGCAGCAGUGGGGAAUAUUGCACAAUGGGCGCAAGCCUGAUGCAGCCAUGCCGGGGGUAUGAAGAAGGCCUUCGGGUUGUAAAGUACUUUCAGCGGGGAGGCGUUACCCGCAGAAGAAGCACCGGCUAACUCCGUGCCAGCCGCCGCGGUAAUUC
rnacentral:rRNA from 1 species